UUUUCAUUGUCUCAACAGAUCCGUGCAGCAGACUUUUCAUAAAUAUGCUCAAGUUCUGUGCUACACUUUUAAAAUGCUGCUUUGUUGUAAGUUCAAGAUAUAUCAUCUGUCUUAUAUUUCUGCUGCUGGGUAUUAUUAAUGGAGAUGAAGUAACACAACUAGAGACAAGCAAAAGUGUUUCUGAAGAGAACAAUGUUGUUCUGUCCUGCAAUUUCACAGCAGCAGCACAACCAUUCCUGCACUGGUAUCAGCAAAAAGCAAAUGGACCUUUAAAUCACCUGGGUUUUCAAGUGAACAGAGCUAAAACUGAAGCAGGAAAUGGUCGUUUCUCAUCAUACUUCAAUGUGUCCAAGAGUACAGUAUUAUUGACUAUCUCGAGAGCACAGCUGUUUGACUCUGCAGUCUACUACUGUGCAAUGAGUGACACACUGAGUGAUAUCCCCACUAGCAUCAUACAGGAAACUAUAACCAGGUGUUUAGGGGGAUCAGAAAUCAAGUACGGUUUCCUCAGAUACUAA